CAGCCUGACGUCACAUGGCAAGCUGUCAGAGUCAUGUGACGAGCUAUUUUUAGUAUCGACAGCUUGUGGUCCCCACCGAAGGUCGCUACACGUUUGACAGAACACAGAGAAGUGCUGCGAUUUGACUGGUAGUUGUUUGUCUUUUCACACACGCUGACACAUGAGUUUCCAGCAAGGACCUCCGCCUUACCUGGGGCGGGUACCAGCAAGGGGCUGCAUACGGCCCACCACCACCAGGUUACGUCCCGGGGUAUGGACCACCUCCAGCGGGGAGCUACUCUCAAGCGUAUUAUGGGCAGCCUCAGAGUCAGCAGACAAUUGUCUACGUGGAGAAGGACAGAAGAGACUCCGAACUGGCGGCAGAAGAGUGCUGCCUUCUGGCGUGUUGUUGGGCAACACUGUGCUGCUGCCUCGCUUCUAGUGUGAAUUAAACGUUCAUGUGUUGGUCUGCCACCGCCACUCUUGUCGGCAGUGUUUGCUGUCCAUACGGAAUGAUGGGCCAUUGACAGAACGUUGUGGCUGCUAGUCCUCUGGCGUAUAGGUUCGCAUUGGUGAAUGACAACCUCCACGCUAGCAGCAAUAAGUUUUUCUUUCAACACUGGACUUUAAGCCUGUAAAGAGUAUUUUAUAUCUUUAGAGAGUUUAUAAUGUAAAAUCAAAACUAAAAAGAACUUUAUACAAAGGCCAACGCCUGGCCUGAACACACGCACACGUUGUGUGUUUUAAUCAGCUAAACAAACCAAAGAGAUAAAAACAAGAAAUCUGACAGUUCAGAUUCAUAGGCAAUAGGGCUGGCCCAUUUGAGCACAAGUGUGUAAAUCGCCUGUAAUCAGCACAGUAAUCAUGCUAAUGUCGCCGUGGUUUCCUUCAGUUCUAGACCUGAGUGAAGAGUUGUGUGUGUAUGAGAGAGAUGGGUGCUGUGAAGGGAAGAAGACAAGAGUAUUUCUCAAAACUAUAAAUUAUUGAAUAGAUUCAAAUAGUCAACUGCAUAUCUUUUGUAUAUCUUAAUAAAUACUUAAACAUGA